GUAGGUGAACCUGCGGAAGGAUCAUUACCAAAAAAAUCCAAUACCAACCCCUUUAUGUGAAUUCUUAGAAUGUAUUUCGGGAGUUUAAACACUUCCUUUUUUUUUUAAAAAAAAAGGUUAGUGCUCCCAUUUUUAUUAAACUCUUUAAACGCCUUAUUGAAGGAGAAAUCUUUCAUAGGUUUAUUAUUAUUUUAUUUUUUUCAUAUUAACAAAAAAAAUUAAAAGUUUAAACAACUUUUAACGGUGGAUCUCUUGGCUCGU
rnacentral:misc_RNA from 1 species